UAGGGAAUCUUCGGCAAUGGACGAAAGUCUGACCGAGCAACGCCGCGUGAGUGAAGAAGGUUUUCGGAUCGUAAAACUCUGUUGUUAGAGAAGAACAAGGACGUUAGUAACUGAACGUCCCCUGACGGUAUCUAACCAGAAAGCCACAGCUAACUACGUGCCAGCAGCCGCGGUAAUACGUAGGUGGCAAGCGUUGUCCUGAUUUAUUGGGCGUAAAGCGAGCGCAGGCGGUUUCUUAAGUCUGAUGUGAAAGCCCCCGGCUCAACCGGGGAGGGUCAUUAGAAACUGGGAGACUUGAGUGCAGAAGAGGAGAGUGAAAUUCCAUGUGUAGCGGUGAAAUGCGUAGAUAUAUGGAGGAACACCAGUGGCGAAGGCGGCUCUCUGGUCUGUAACUGACGCUGAGGAUCGAAAGCGUGGGGAGCAAACAGG
rnacentral:rRNA from 1 species